AUUUUUGGUCCGACCAGGAAACAAUGGUAAUGUUAGGCAUUCUGAAAGAAAUGGAUAUUAUGAAGUGCCUUGAUGGCCGUAAGAACAGGAAUGGUGACAUAUUUAAAAGAGUCGCAGAAAGAAAGGGAGAGGAAGGUUACGUACGUUCGGCUGAACAAGUGCGCACCCGCUGGAAAAUCCUAAAAACUAGCUACUAUCGGGCGAAAAAACAAAACAACACCAGCGGUUCUAAUCCUUCAUCUUUCCCACAUUUUGAAAGUAUGCAUGACAUAGUCAUCGACCUUUGUCCAACAUUUCCGAGAAUGGAGUGGACAUUGGGUUUGACGGGGACGAGGAUGCAGCGGAACACUCGAAUUCAGUGGACGAGAGUGUCAUUGGGGAUGAAGUGAGUUCUCUAGCUCGCCAGGAGGAAAUGAACGAGGAUGCAGAUGAAGAUAAUGCAUCAUCAGCUGAUAUGUCUGGUACUCAAGAGGAAAGCUUUUCAGCCACAGCACCAGAUGUCGACCCACCCAGGACACAAGGUUACUUUCGAAGAAAGAAGAAAGCGAGAAGCACUGUGAUCUCUCAGCAUCAGCAGUUCAGGGUACAGAUAAUAAGGCAAGAAAAUGAAUGGGUUCAAGACCAAAUCCAGAAAUCCGAGCAAAGAGAGGAGAGACUCCUUAGUGCUUUAAUUGAGAGCAAUGUCCGUUCCACUGAGCACCUGAUAUCAGUACUUGAGGGACUCCAAAAUACACAGACACAGCAAAUGUUUACACCUGAUUCACUGCACCCCCCACACUUUCAAUGGUAUCACAUACAGCCAUCUAACUAUCCCAUACAUGGUUCUACUGUGUCAAACACAUCCACUGCUGAACAUGGGUCAGAAGAAUGAAAAUAACCAUGCUCGAUCAUAUACUCAACUGUGAGCAGCCUGCCAUUAGGUUAGCAGACAACCUGCUUAUGUAAAAUAGUUUGUGAAUGCCUGUAUUAGUUUGAGUUUAGAUAUGUUUGCCUACCAUCAUUUGCCUGUGUUACAGGAAAGAAUGUGCCUUGUCUUUUGUUAUAUACUUGCUUAGAAAGUGAAACUUACACCCUGGAUGGGGUUGAAAUGUUUUUUUAAAUUUAUUUAAACCUCUAUUUUUUGUAAAGUAAUAUUUAACAUAAGUCUGCAGAACUUGAAGAGGUCCCUUUUUUAUUGUCCUUUUUGUUGUCCUUUUUUGGCACCUGGAA
ensembl:lncRNA